GCAUGGCUGAAUUCUGUGUUACUUUGUGGUGUAGUAAACACAGUCAGACACCGUGCUAAAGGAAUACAUUCCCACGCUGACCCGACAAGAAGGGAGAGCGUUCCCGCGCCUCUUUCUUACGUCAGAGUGAAUACAGUA
rnacentral:snoRNA from 1 species